rnacentral:rRNA from 1 species
AGCGAACGCUGGCGGCAGGCCUAACACAUGCAAGUCGAACGGUAACAGGCCGCAAGGUGCUGACGAGUGGCGAACGGGUGAGUAAUGCAUCGGAACGUGCCCAGUCGUGGGGGAUAACGCAGCGAAAGCUGUGCUAAUACCGCACACGAUUUAUGGAUGAAAGCGGGGGACCGUAAGGCCUCGCGCGAUUGGAGCGGCCGAUGUCAGAUUAGGUAGUUGGUGGGGUAAAGGCCUACCAAGCCGACGAGCUGUAGCUGGUCUGAGAGGACGACCUGCCACACUGGGACUGAGACACGGCCCAGACUCCUAAUGGAGGCAGCAGUGGGGAAUUUUGUACAAUGGGCGCAAGCCUGAUCGAACAAUGCCGCGUGCAGGAAGAAGGCCUUCGGGUUGUAAACUGCUUUUGUACGGAACGAAAAGACUCCUUCUAAUAAAGGGGGUCCAUGACGGUACCAUAAGAAUAAGCACCGGCUAACUACGUGCCAGCAGCCGCCGUAAUAC